rnacentral:rRNA from 1 species
AAGCCUGAUGCAGCGACGCCGCGUGAGGGAUGACGGCCUUCGGGUUGUAAACCUCUUUCAGCAGGGAAGAAGCGAAAGUGACGGUACCUGCAGAAGAAGCACCGGCUAACUACGUGCCAGCAGCCGCGGUAAUACGUAGGGUGCGAGCGUUGUCCGGAAUUAUUGGGCGUAAAGAGCUUGUAGGCGGUUUGUCGCGUCUGCUGUGAAAAUCCGGGGCUCAACCCCGGACUUGCAGUGGGUACGGGCAGACUAGAGUGUGGUAGGGGAGACUGGAAUUCCUGGUGUAGCGGUGAAAUGCGCAGAUAUCAGGAGGAACACCGAUGGCGAAGGCAGGUCUCUGGGCCACUACUGACGCUGAGAAGCGAAAGCAUGGGGAGCGAACAGGAUUAGAUACCCUGGUAGUCCAUGCCGUAAACGUUGGGCGCUAGGUGUGGGACUCAUUCCACGAGUUCCGUGCCGCAGCUAACGCAUUAAGCGCCCCGCCUGGGGAGUACGGCCGCAAGGCUAAAACUCAAAGGAAUUGACGGGGGCCCGCACAAGCGGCGGAGCAUGCGGAUUAAUUCGAUGCAACGCGAAGAACCUUACCAAGGCUUGACAUAUACCGGAAACAUCCAGAGAUGGGUGCCCCUUUUAGGUCGGUAUACAGGUGGUGCAUGGUUGUCGUCAGCUCGUGUCGUGAGAUGUUGGGUUAAGUCCCGCAACGAGCGCAACCCUCGUUCUAUGUUGCCAGCACGUUAUGGUGGGGACUCAUGGAAGACUGCCGGGGUCAACUCGG